rnacentral:lncRNA from 1 species
UGGUCCAUGUUGAGAGUGCUAUGUAUUAUGUGAGAGAUUCGGUUUCACAGAUUGAGUUGAUCUGCUUGAUUCUUGUAGAUUUAGUAUAGAUUAUCGUGGUGUGGUAAUCUGUAGGGUUGACUUGUGAGAGUUUCUUGUUAUAUUUGGCUAGAGAUUUGGUGUAUUUGUGUAUCGUUUCUAGUUUUUUACAAGUUUAACGUUGGUUGUUGUUCGAUACUCAUGUUUACAAGUCUUGUCUUAGUUCUUAAAAGUCAUGUGAUUUUUAUAUGACAUCAGAUAUAUAGUUCUGUUAUGCAAUCAUAUGAUUCUUUGUUAUUUGGAUAUGUUGUAUUAUUAUAUUUUCAAGGUGUUGACAUGAAUCCAAUUCUUUUCAGAUUUUUAAUCACAUGAUUCAAAAUUUUCAGACAAGUCUUUAAAGUUGUGUGAUUCUUGUUUUAUUAUCGUAUAUGAUUCGCAUAGUGUAAUUGAAUCGUGUGAUUCAUUAUUUUUAUUAGAAAAUUGUUGUUUCUAAUUCUUUGUUGUUUAAUGAGGCGUGUGUCUGAUAUGCUUGUUGAACCGUGUGAUUCACUUUUCUGAUUUGGUUUCAUUAAAUGUUUUAGAAAGUUGUUAAACUUGUCCAUAGAUGAAUGAUUUAGUCAUUUGUUUUUGAAGUGGAUUAUAAGUUCACUAUUCAAAAAAAAAUGGUAGUCUUGUGAUUUGUGAUAAUUGUUAUGGACACUUUGUUUUCGUUUUUUUUUUCAUAUCUCGCUGAUCUUUUAUAACUAUACAUAAUUGGAGUUUCCUUGUUUCUUCUAAAGUGAAAAUUUGUUAUUCAGUUAUUUUAUUAAUUUUGAGUGAACCAAUGUUUAGUCAUUUGUUUUCAAAGUUAAAAAAGUUUGAGAAAAAAAAAACAAACAGUUUUUUGAUCUACUAUAGAAGUAGAGAUCGUGAUGUGUAUCAUGUUGUUUGUGAGGUUAAGUGGCUGGUAAAUGUGCUUGAUGAACUGAACGUUGUAUAUGCUUAGAAAGUGUUUAUUGCCACAAUUUCAUGAUAAUAUGUGUUAUCUCCUAGGACUUAUUAACAUGGUCGAAAUAUAAAACUGAGGGCG